GCUAGGGGUUGGCUAGGCAGGUGAUGGAUGAACCAAGGUACUCAACGGUGCGUGCAGGAGAUGAUGAUAAACCUACAGACGAGUGAUCGAAAGGAGCCCCUAACGGCCUUAGGUCAGAGGCGAAUGAGAGAAGAAGAGAGCAAGUGAUCCUGUGGUGGAGCCUUUGACUCCGUGGGGAAGCUGCACGGAACAGAAUUGAAGGCAUCUCAUAGUGAGGGGCAGAGUCUAAUUUUAUAGUCCAGGAUGACCUCAAACUUGUGACCCAUCUGCUUUGGUUUCCUGAGUGCUGGAGUCUCAGAAUUUGGGCCUGCAGUUCCUGCAACUUUGGGCUCUUAUGUCUUGGAAGUCUUGGUUUCCAAGACAGGAAGUCUAUGGGAGGCAACACAAAGUUUCCACUGGAUUGAGGAGGACUGAUCCAAUCACAGAGAGAGGGUUGAUUGCUGACCGAAUGAGGACAAGGACGGAUUUGCAGAAUUCUGGUUGCUCUGUUCCUGGAAGUCAGGCUUCCAAGAGGAGUUGACAUGGACCAAUGGGGUUUCGCCACAUAGCCAAGACAACGGGGUCUCUGCUGAGUUCACACUGUUGCCUUUGGUGAACUUCAACCCUGAAUAAAACCUUUCUUUUGGGCGUGACGCUGGGGACUAAAGCCGGUCUUCACACAUACUAGGGUUUCUCUGCAUAGCCCUGGCUGGCCUGGAACUCACUUUGUAGACCAGGCUGGCCUCGAACUCAGAAAUCCGCCUGCCUCUGCCUCCCGAGUGCUAGGACUAAAGGCAUGCACCACCACGGCCGCCCGGCUGAGUUAUUCAGGUUUUAUUCAAGAUUGAAGUUCACCACUUGAGUCCUCUCUCCAGCCCCAGACUGGCUUUAGCCUGCCAUCCUUUUGCCUUCGUUUCUGGAGGCUGAGAUUACAGACAUGCAUCACCACGCACAACCCUGCUGAUUUUGGUCUUUGUCAUAUUUGAUGUCGGUGUUAUUCUGGCUCGGCAAGAAGAAUUUGGGCGAUUUUACUGCUUACUUGACUCUGAAAUAAAAUUUAGGUCCUUU